rnacentral:rRNA from 1 species
UCGAUACCUGCDAAGCAAACCCGCGAACACGUUCUCAACACGCUUGGGUUCCCGUCGCUGGAUGCCUUAGCGCAUCCCUCGUCGUGCUCCCUUCCCAUCGACACACGCUUGCGCGGGUCGUUCGGGUUAACAAACAUUUCGGCGCGGCACGAGGAAAACUAUCACGAGAAUGCCUGCUCCCGUGAGCAUCGUUUGCGGUGCAUUGCGGGNNNNNNNNNNNNCUCUUGAAUCACUAAAUGACUCUCGGCAACGGAUAUCUCGGCUCUCGCAUCGAUGAAGAACGUAGCGAAAUGCGAUACUUGGUGUGAAUUGCAGAAUCCCGUGAACCAUCGAGUCUUUGAACGCAAGUUGCGCCCGAAGCCAUUAGGUCGAGGGCACGCCUGCCUGGGCGUCACGCAUCGCGUCGCCCCCUCCCACCCCUCUCCUUUGUGAAAACGGGUGGAUCCGAGGGGACGGACACUGGCCUCCCGUGCUUUUACUGUGCGGCCGGCCUAAAUUUGAUUCCUCGUCGACGGAUGUCACGACUAGUGGUGGUUGAAUCAAUCGCGUGCUGUCGUGCAAGACCUCGUUCGAUCCUGGACAUCAUUACCGACCUAAACAGCG